AGGCCGAACGCUUGCGGCGUGCCUAAGAAAUGCAAGUCGAACGGACAGUAGGAGUAAUCUUACUGUUAGUGGCGAACGGUCGCGUAACACGUAGGCAACCUGCCCAAAAGUGGGGGACAACAACCUGAAAGGGUUGCUAAUACCGCAUGUGGCCCUGGAGUGGCAUCACUCCUGGUCUAAAGCUUUAUGCGCUUUUGGAUGGGCUUGCGGCCUAUCAGGUAGUUGGUGGGGUAAUGGCCUACCAAGCCGACGACGGGUAGCUGGUCUGAGAGGACGAUCAGCCGGAUUGGGACUGAGAUACGGCCCAGACUCCUACGGGGGGCAGCAAUUAGGAAUCUUGCGCAAUGGGGGCAACCCUGACGCAGCGACGCCGCGUGCGGGAUGAAGGCAUUCGUGUCGUAAACCGCUUUUACGGGAAGAAGAAUUUGACGGUACCGUCGAAUAAGCCCGGCUAACUACGCGCCAGCAGCCGC
rnacentral:rRNA from 1 species